rnacentral:rRNA from 1 species
UGCAAGUCGAACGGUGAAGCCAAGCUUGCUUGGUGGAUCAGUGGCGAACGGGUGAGUAACACGUGAGCAACCUGCCCUGGACUCUGGGAUAAGCGCUGGAAACGGCGUCUAAUACUGGAUAUGAGCUCUUACCGCAUGGUGGGGGUUGGAAAGAUUUUUCGGUCUGGGAUGGGCUCGCGGCCUAUCAGCUUGUUGGUGAGGUAAUGGCUCACCAAGGCGUCGACGGGUAGCCGGCCUGAGAGGGUGACCGGCCACACUGGGACUGAGACACGGCCCAGACUCCUACGGGAGGCAGCAGUGGGGAAUAUUGCACAAUGGGCGGAAGCCUGAUGCAGCAACGCCGCGUGAGGGAUGACGGCCUUCGGGUUGUAAACCUCUUUUAGCAGGGAAGAAGCGUGAGUGACGGUACCUGCAGAAAAAGCGCCGGCUAACUACGUGCCAGCAGCCGCGGUAAUACGUAGGGCGCAAGCGUUAUCCGGAAUUAUUGGGCGUAAAGAGCUCGUAGGCGGUUUGUCGCGUCUGCUGUGAAAUCCCGAGGCUCAACCUCGGGCCUGCAGUGGGUACGGGCAGACUAGAGUGCGGUAGGGGAGAUUGGAAUUCCUGGUGUAGCGGUGGAAUGCGCAGAUAUCAGGAGGAACACCGAUGGCGAAGGCAGAUCUCUGGGCCGUAACUGACGCUGAGGAGCGAAAGGGUGGGGAGCAAACAGGCUUAGAUACCCUGGUAGUCCACCCCGUAAACGUUGGGAAC